GCCAUGUGUUAUGCUUGUGGGUGGUCUUAAGAUCUUAAAGAAAAGCUUUGCUCUGUGAAGUCAUGCAGCACUGUAUGUAAUUAAGAGGCUUCCCCCCCCCCCUUCCCCUCCAAACUCCUCUAUCUCUCCUGAUGUUGUUGUUGCGAAUGAUCUACACUUUGUGGAUGAGCUCCCUUUCAGUGCAUGUUAACCUGGGAAGGCUGUUUCUAGUACCUGAGCUUGAUCACAGAGAGUUCUCAGCUAUUUCUCUGCACAGAACUGCUGUGCCUCAGCCGUGACUCCACACCCGUCUCUGCAGCAUCUUUCAGAGCAGCCCGAUGGUUGUCUUCAUCUUCCUUCAAAAAAUCUUCUGAGACUUCACUUCAAAGACUCACGUACGUGGCAGAUUCAAUGACAGGUGUGGAGCAAUCUUUGUCAGUGAUGGUGUGUGCAGUGUGUGACUGCACAGGAACCGACUCCUCAGGCUUCCUGAAGGAACUGGAAUUAAAUUAGACUCUUCUCAGCCGGACCAGUUCUUUCACCCGGACCAGUUCUUUCACCCAGUUCAAGAUACAACUAUGGGCACAUCACAGAAAAAGUUGUAUGGAUGUGGAGACAAACAGCAGAAGUCAGGAUGCCUCACAUUGGCUGUCACGGCUGACAAAAUCUGGAAGAAAAAGGAUCGGAGGAAGCAGUGGAAGGGACAGGGCACAAGAAAGAAAAGGAAAGAAACGCGGACGCUCGCACACAACUUCUUACAAUGGCUCCAGCAUGCCCUUCCAUUGGCAGGAAUCCUUUUGAUCAAAUCCUUGCCCUGGGCUGGAAGUGUUUUAAUGAGCAUACAGACAUCAUCUUUUUUUCCUAGGUCUAUUUUGUGUUCUUAAGGAUAGAUAAGUAAAGCGUGCACUUAAAUGAUCCUGUGAGUGCUUCUUAACUGUGCUCUAGAGGAAAGGCGUAGUGCUUGAAUGUGGAGGCUGAACAGCGCCAGCCUGAAGGACAAGGAAAAUAGCAGAGGAGGAAACUUGAGCUGAACUGAACUUGUUUUCUUUAACAUCUUAUUUUCUUUUGGAGAAGGAAUAAGCAGCAUGAAACACCUAGACAUCUGUUGGAUGAGGGGUGUUUUAUGGAGACUCCCAUGUCUUGCUGCUUUUCCCCACAGAAUAUUCUGAAUUGAUAGGGACCCACAAGUAUCGUAGACUCAUAGAAUGGUUGAGUUGGAAGGGACCUUAAUGAUCAGUGAGCUCCAACUACCCUGCUGCAGGCUGGGUGCUCCCCACCAGCUCAGGCUGCCUGGAGCCCUAUUCGUGACCUUGGGCACCUCCAGGGAUGGAGCACCCCCACUCUCUGGGCAGCAGAUGUAAGAAUUCUCAGAGGUGCAGUGGGAUUUCUGUCUUUGCAUGCUGGUAGGUGCCAGCCUGUGAGAGGCCCAGGGCUGAAGGAUGUAGAAGCAGUGCCCACCAGUCCCUGCUCUCUCCACCAAAUGUGGGGCAGGUGUAGGACCCCAAAGAAGCUAUCCUUUAGUAGCAGCCCAAAUGUUGCUGAUUUGUGGAAAUGAGCCUGGGCUGCCAACCUUGCUCUUCUAGGAGCCCUGAAAGACUUUGAAUAUUAAAAAAUAAAGGUUGUACUUGAUAAAAGGCAAAUGUUUAGUUUGACACAUCUCAUUAUUCUAAGGAAUUUGCAGGAAAAGACAAACUUUGUUAGCCUGCCACUAAGUGCUAACAGUUUCUGGAAGUCAAUAAAGUGACCUGCUUGCCUUGGAAGGAAACAGUUAGCACAGACUUCCAAUUUCCCAGCUAAGUUAUGAAGACGGGAUGCAGGAAGACGGAAGCCAAGAUGUCAGUGCAGAAGACACAGAGCCUUCCCCAGACUAGGAUGGCUAGAGUUGAAAGAACAUCAUGCCCUGACAGCAGCUGCCAAAAUCAAACCCUUUUUCAAUGUUUUUUUGAUGUGAAUCACAGGAGGUUUCACUACUGGGAUUUGCAUCCAAACAGGAAACCUGCAGAUUUCUUCAAAUCCUGGCGACAAAGAGAUAGCUGCCAUGAAUUGCCUUCUGGUAGUGCCCGUUCCUCUCAGUUGAUUACAAGAGGAUCCCCAAAUGCUAGAUCAGUCUUUGGCCGGCAUCUUUCAUAAAGUGCUGAAAUUUGCCCUUGAGGCAUCAGAUGGAGUAGUCAGAUUGUCAAAUAAGUCUCCUAAUUGAAGCGAACGCUGGCACAAUAUUUGUCUUUUGAAAACAAACAUCGCCAGCAAAGUUGCAGGUCCACCACGGAGCCGCGCGGAGCCGGGUGUGCGCAAUGGGAGGAAGGCUGUGCGAGCAGAUUGUUGCAGGGAAACACCAAACCUGUGAAAAUCCACUGAACCAAAGCAAAAACACAUGCCUGUAGGCAUAAGAACGAUGAAGAUGGAUACCAUUUUGAAGACUGAAAAAGCUAGUGCGACUGCGAGACAAGCAUAUGAGAAACCUGAAUGUCUGACACCUACCAUGGAGCCAGUGGCUUGCCGAUGACAGCCAUAUGGGAUAUGUCCGAUAAAGUGACCAGAAGCCAUUAUUUCCAUCGGACACAAUGGCAACCGGAAACAUUACCCUCACAAUGCUGAAGAAUGUAAAUGCAUUAUCUCAUGACCUCCAAGGAUGUGAACAGGUCUUGAGCUGCCUGGAGAACAUGCUGUGGCACCCAACAUGGCCACACAGGAGGUCUCUGCCUGCCUCUGCUGUCCCUGAUGCCGAAGGAGGACAGGCUGUGCCGGACAAUUAUGUGAUCGUGACAAAGCCAAGUGACUCCCAGGGAUCAUCCACAAUGAUGAUGAGAGCCGGUGGGGAACACCAUGGAGGAGAAUGAAACAAUUACGAGCGUCUUUUAAAGGAAACUGUGAGAGAGAGGACUCCAGACGCUGCAGUGUGACAGCUAAACCAAGGAGCAUCGGAUGCAAUGGAAUUGCUCUACAAGCAACCUUGCCAAAGGCCCUUUUGCUGCACAAAGCUGGCUCUAUCUUUGUAUAUUGAGGGAACUAAAUCAAUGUUAAAUGCUUGGCUCUUUUCACAGGACAAUGACCAGGACCUAAGCUGCGUCCUUCCUAUUUGAUUGACACUUGAAACGUUGAGUUGGAAUCAGCCAGAGGCACUGCUACAAGCUUGAAGCCUCUGCUGGGGAUAACAACUGGUGACAUCUGCAGAAAGGCCGACAAAAGGCAGUUGAAAGCCGUGUUUGUUGCUUUCCCCUCUCAGAUCUCCUCUCUUUCAUGGAGCUCCUUACUUGCUUUAAUAUUAUGAUUCAGCACCUGGCUCUUUUGAACCUUGCUUUAAACUUCAAAAGGCGAGGUGGUAUUAACAAACAUGAAACGAAAAAGUGGCAGUAGUUUGAUUUACUGUUGUCGUCUUAUCAAGGGGGUUUUUUGUCACCAGCUGCCACUUUCUGUCAUCUUUGGAACCAUUAUCAUUUCUCUAAAAUCUAAAAGACUCCACUUAAUAACAGCUUUGAAUACAGGCAGGAUCAGUAACGUAUACAGUUCUGGGAUGACAGGGCCGUCAAAUGAAAAGAAAGAUGUUGCCAAAAAAAAAAAAAAAAAUCCUUAAAAAAAAAAAAGCAAUAAAACAAAUAAAAGCCAUAGUACUUCUAAGUGACCUUGAUUUCAGAAUUAAACAAAUCAAGCACAAUUCCAUUGUUCUUUCUGGAUUAAUUCUGCACUUUCUUUGCAGUGUUUCUUUUUUGUUCUCAGGACUAAGGGAAAACAAAGCCAAGGCUUUCAGAAAACUGCUCGGCACACAACAAGCACUUGGUAUCACAUGAGUGCUGUAAGCUUCUCACUGUAAAACUGCCAGCGAUAAUUACUGGUCUCGUUUCCCCACCAUCCCAGCACAGCAACUCACAUUCAGGCUGAGCUGCCUUGCUAGUCAAAAAAAUGCUCAACUCCCCUCUUAUAGUGCUGCUCCAUGCUUUCCUGCAGACCUUCCCAACAUGGUUGUGUUGGUCUUUGGCUGCCAAGGCAGAACCAAGUGCCUGGUCAAGUUUGCCCAUUGCAGCUGCUCACAUUAAGCCACAGGCAGUCAAAUAAACACAAUUUUCUAAAGUGCAAACCUACUGCACUUUCACACUUGUCGCCUUGCCAUUCUUUACGGGAAACUCACUCUGAUCCCUUUGUUUUAUAAUGGUAUGCAUAAUUAACUCAUCUGAAGGUAGAAAUUUCUCCCACUGCCUUCUAAACUCAUGGAUAAAUGAUGGACAAGCCAUCACAAGCAGUGACUUUUAAUUUGCACAAAUUGGAACCUGCACUUCUGUGCAUCUUAAUAGUUACUUCCACUUGUGCAAAAAUAGUGAAACCAACUGCAAAAACCAAAGGAUCCCCUCCACUCUCCCCAUUGAUGUGUCCUCCCUCCCCUCAGUUAUGUGUAAAUCCAGGCAAUGGGAUCCAACACAUGGUCUCCCAUUGGCCUCUUCCAGACCUGUUCAACCACAGGAAUCUGGGGGAGAUUUAUGCCAGAACAUCUUCCUAAAACAGUGAUGGAAACAACAAAAUGAAAAUAUUCAUAGAAGUGAAAGUGCUGAUGUCUUGACCAGUGAAAACACAGGAUUGCAAGACUCCAAAGUUGGUUGAUUUUUUAUGGACUGGGAUGCGACAAAACUCAUGAAAUUGAGAUGGAGAUUGCUAAAAAUACCUAUUAUCCUCUGACAGAAGCACUCACUGUAUAACGAUAACGAGGGUUUUUCACAGAGCAUGUACAGAUUUGAAAGUUUAGUCAUUUUAACAAGUGUUAAUUACUGCAUGCUAACCAGCAGAAGUGUGUGGGGGAGAUGUUUUAUAUUUAUUUGUUCCAGACUUGGAACAUAUUAGAAAGUAGGCUCCCUUCCAGGUUACUGUGGUAUGAAUGAAUACGUUACCCAACUACAAAUAAAAAAUACUGCAAGAAGAAAUAAGGACUUUUCCCCAGCAUAUUUCUUUGAAGAGAAGACCGAGAAUAUGUUUAGUCUAUUACAUCAAGUGGAAAUCUUAGCCUG
ensembl:lncRNA